rnacentral:rRNA from 1 species
GACGAACGCUGGCGGCGUGCUUAACACAUGCGAGUCGUACGGUAAGGCCCUUUCGGGGGUACACGAGUGGCGAACGGGUGAGUAACACGUGAGUAACCUGCCCACAACUUUGGGAUAACGCUAGGAAACUGGUGCUAAUACUGGAUAUGUGCUCCUGCUGCAUGGUGGGGGUUGGAAAGCUCCGGCGGUUGUGGAUGGACUCGCGGCCUAUCAGCUUGUUGGUGGGGUAGUGGCCUACCAAGGCGGCGACGGGUAGCCGGCCUGAGAGGGUGACCGGCCACAUUGGGACUGAGAUACGGCCCAGACUCCUACGGGAGGCAGCAGUGGGGAAUAUUGCACAAUGGGCGCAAGCCUGAUGCAGCAACGCCGCGUGCGGGAUGACGGCCUUCGGGUUGUAAACCGCUUUCAGCAGGGACGAAGCUUUUUGUGACGGUACCUGCAGAAGAAGCACCGGCUGACUACGUG